UCUUAUCAAGAGAGGCGGAGGGACAGGCCCUAUGAAGCCCGGCAGCCGGCCCAUUCAUCUGAUGGGUGUCGUGGUGCCAAUUCCUACAAGAUGACGAAUCUUGAGAGAUGAGA
rnacentral:ncRNA from 1 species